rnacentral:misc_RNA from 1 species
CAGCAACGUCCAUCCGUGCAAGCCUCUUCAUUUGUGUUUUAAGGUCAACAUGGCCUUUUAGCAUUUGUCGGGAUCCUUGUGUUUCAUACCUACUUUAUGGUAUUGCAUUGUUUUAUUGAUGUCCCUUUUCAUUGUGUGUUGCUCACACAACAUGUGAUGAACCUUGAAGCGGUCUUAGUGAUCCAUCUCGUUGAUGCUUAUGCGUCGUUGACAUGGCCCAUUAAACAUCGUUUGGUUUUUUGGAUAUGGAACCUUGUUUGGGUAUGGGGUCUUGUACCUUGUAUUUUACCCUCACUAAGCGUUCUUGCUUCUUUGAAACGAUUGUCGGGCACGUGUUUGCUUUGUAAAUGCGUGGUUGACGAUGUCGGGA